rfam:Myotis brandtii contig242071, whole genome shotgun sequence.
GAUGGUUCUUGGGUGAUGUACCCUGGAAUUGGGCUCCCUCCUCUCUGGUUUCGGGUGCAUCACCUGAGAACCACA